CCUACGGGAGGCAGCAGUGAGGAAUAUUGGUCAAUGGACGCAAGCCUGAACCAGCCAUGCCGCGUGAAGGAAGACGGCUCUAUGAGUUGUAAACUGCUUUUGUACAGGGGUAAAGGCAGACACGCGUAUCUUUCUGAAAGUAUCUUACGAAUAAGGAUCGGCUAACUCCGUGCCAGCAGCCGCGGUAAUACGGAGGAUUCAAGCGUUAUCCGGAUUUAUUGGGUUUAAAGGGUGCGUAGGCGGUCGGAUAAGUUAGUGGUGAAAUCCUGAGGCUCAACUGGGGAAUUGCCUUUGAUACUGUUCGGCGAGAGAGUAGUUGCGGUAGGCGGAAUGUAUGGUGUAGCGGUGAAAUGCUUAGAGAUCAUACAGAACACCGAUUGCGAAGGCAGCUUACCAAGCUACUUCUGACGGUGAGGCACGAAAGCGUGGGGAGCAAACAGGAUUAGAUACCCCUGUAGUC
rnacentral:rRNA from 1 species